rnacentral:rRNA from 1 species
UGCUCCCUGAUGUUAGCGGCGGACGGGUGAGUAACACGUGGGUAACCUGCCUGUAAGACUGGGAUAACUCCGGGAAACCGGGGCUAAUACCGGAUGGUUGUUUGAACCGCAUGGUUCAGACAUAAAAGGUGGCUUCGGCUACCACUUACAGAUGGACCCGCGGCGCAUUAGCUAGUUGGUGAGGUAACGGCUCACCAAGGCGACGAUGCGUAGCCGACCUGAGAGGGUGAUCGGCCACACUGGGACUGAGACACGGCCCAGACUCCUACGGGAGGCAGCAGUAGGGAAUCUUCCGCAAUGGACGAAAGUCUGACGGAGCAACGCCGCGUGAGUGAUGAAGGUUUUCGGAUCGUAAAGCUCUGUUGUUAGGGAAGAACAAGUGCCGUUCAAAUAGGGCGGCACCUUGACGGUACCUAACCAGAAAGCCACGGCUAACUACGUGCCAGCAGCCGCGGUAAUACGUAGGUGGCAAGCGUUGUCCGGAAUUAUUGGGCGUAAAGGGCUCGCAGGCGGUUUCUUAAGUCUGAUGUGAAAGCCCCCGGCUCAACCGGGGAGGGUCAUUGGAAACUGGGGAACUUGAGUGCAGAAGAGGAGAGUGGAAUUCCACGUGUAGCGGUGAAAUGCGUAGAGAUGUGGAGGAACACCAGUGGCGAAGGCGACUCUCUGGUCUGUAACUGACGCUGAGGAGCGAAAGCGUGGGGAGCGAACAGGAUUAGAUACCCUGGUAGUCCACGCCGUAAACGAUGAGUGCUAAGUGUUAGGGGGUUUCCGCCCCUUAGUGCUGCAGCUAACGCAUUAAGCACUCCGCCUGGGGAGUACGGUCGCAAGACUGAAAACUCAAAGGAAUUGACGGGGGCCCGCACAA